rnacentral:rRNA from 1 species
GAUGAACGCUGGCGGCGUGCCUAAUACAUGCAAGUCGAGCGAACAGAUGAGGAGCUUGCUCCUCUGACGUUAGCGGCGGACGGGUGAGUAACACGUGGAUAACCUACCUAUAAGACUGGGAUAACUUCGGGAAACCGGAGCUAAUACCGGAUAAUAUAUUGAACCGCAUGGUUCAAUAGUGAAAGACGGUUUUGCUGUCACUUCUCGCUGCAUCCGGGCCGCAUUAGCUAGUUGGUAAGGUAACGGCUUACCACGGCAACGAUGCGUAGCCGACCUGAGAGAGUGAUCGGCCACACUGGAACUGAGACACGGUCCAGACUCCUACGGGAGGCAGCAGUAGGGAAUCUUCCGCAAUGGGCGGAAGCCUGACGGAGCAACGCCGCGUGAGUGCUGAAGGUCUUCGGAUCGUAAAACUCUGUUAUUAGGGAAGAACAAAUGUGGAAGUAACUAUGCACGUCUUGACGGUACCUAAUCAGAAAGCCACGGCUAACUACGUG